rnacentral:rRNA from 1 species
AGUGAACGCUGGCGGUAGGCCUAACACAUGCAAGUCGAACGGCAGCACAGUAAGAGCUUGCUCUUACGGGUGGCGAGUGGCGGACGGGUGAGGAAUACAUCGGAAUCUACUUUUCGGGGGGGGUAACGUAGGGAAACUUACGCUAAUACCGCAUACGACCUACGGGGGAAAGCAGGGGAUCUUCGGACCUUGCGCGAUUGAAUGAGCCGAUGUCGGAUUAGCUAGUUGGCGGGGUAAAGGCCCACCAAGGCGACGAUCCGUAGCUGGUCUGAGAGGAUGAUCAGCCACACUGGAACUGAGACACGGUCCAGACUCCUACGGGAGGCAGCAGUGGGGAAUAUUGGACAAUGGGCGCAAGCCUGAUCCAGCCAUACCGCGUGGGUGAAGAAGGCCUUCGGGUUGUAAAGCCCUUUUGUUGGGAAAGAAAAGCAGCAGGUUAAUACCCCGCUGUUCUGACGGUACCCAAAGAAUAAGCACCGGCUAACUUCGUG